CAAUUAGUGUUUUUCWCCUGUUGAUCCAUGAUUGGCUGACGCUCUGAGGAGCGCAGCUGCAGCAGGUUCCACUGAUGAGCACCAGGGGUUUAUUAGAUGGCACUGAAGAACAGGACCUCGCCGGCGCAACACAUAUCUAUGUGAACUCGUUCUUGGUCCUGUGAACCCAUCUGGAAGAUCUACUCCCCCUGCUCAUCUGCCUGUCUGCCUCCAACUAAAAAGAGAAAUACUCACCUGCCUCAACUCACCUGCUUCUCAGCCUCGCACCUGCAAACCAGAGAUUACCAAACUUACCUUUGUGGAUCCUCGUCCUCUUCUCCGAGCUGCUCCYCUGUUCUCCCUCCCUGUCCCAACCCGUCCCCAUCCUGUGCACUGUAAAUAAAAACACUUAUUGUUUA